rnacentral:rRNA from 1 species
UACGAAGGGGGCGAGUGUUACUCAUAGUGAUUGGGCGUAAAGGGUACGUAGGUGGCUUUUUAAGCUUUCAUUAAAAUCCCAUGGCGUAACCGUGGCUUUUGAAAGGACUGAACGGCUACGAGUUUAGUAGAGGUCAGUGGUACUUUUAGAGUAAAAGUGGCAAUUGUAGAUUCUAAGGGGACCCCCAACGGCGAAGGCAACUGACCAGGUUAAACUGACGCUAAUGUACGGAGGCAUGGGGAUCGAACAGG